rnacentral:rRNA from 1 species
GACGAACCGUGCGAACGUUAUUCGGAAUCAUUGGGCUUAAAGGGCGCGUAGGCGGGUCGACACGUCGGAACUGAAAUCCCCCGGCUCAACCGGGGAACGGGCUCCGAUACGAUUGACCUCGAGGUGAGAAGGGGGACCUGGAACGUCCGGUGGAGCGGUGAAAUGCGUUGAGAUCGGACGGAACGCCGAUGGCGAAAGCAAGGUCCUAUACUCAUCCUGACGCUGAGGUGCGAAAGCGUGGGGAGCGAACGGG